rnacentral:rRNA from 1 species
CAGGGUUUGAUCCUGGCUCAGAUUGAACGCUGGCGGCAGGCCUAACACAUGCAAGUCGAGCGGAUGAAGGGAGCUUGCUCCUGGAUUCAGCGGCGGACGGGUGAGUAAUGCCUAGGAAUCUGCCUGGUAGUGGGGGAUAACGUCCGGAAACGGGCGCUAAUACCGCAUACGUCCUGAGGGAGAAAGUGGGGGAUCUUCGGACCUCACGCUAUCAGAUGAGCCUAGGUCGGAUUAGCUAGUUGGUGGGGUAAAGGCCUACCAAGGCGACGAUCCGUAACUGGUCUGAGAGGAUGAUCAGUCACACUGGAACUGAGACACGGUCCAGACUCCUACGGGAGGCAGCAGUGGGGAAUAUUGGACAAUGGGCGAAAGCCUGAUCCAGCCAUGCCGCGUGUGUGAAGAAGGUCUUCGGAUUGUAAAGCACUUUAAGUUGGGAGGAAGGGCAGUAAGUUAAUACCUUACUGUUUUGACGUUACCAACAGAAUAAGCACCGGCUAACUUCGUGCCAGCAGCCGCGGUAA